rnacentral:rRNA from 1 species
UAACGCGUGGGUAACCUGCCUCAUACAGGGGGAUAACAGUUAGAAAUGACUGCUAAUACCGCAUAAGCGCACAGUGCUGCAUGGCACAGUGUGAAAAACUCCGGUGGUAUGAGAUGGACCCGCGUCUGAUUAGCUAGUUGGUGGAGUAACGGCCUACCAAGGCGACGAUCAGUAGCCGGCCUGAGAGGGUGAACGGCCACAUUGGGACUGAGACACGGCCCAA